CUUAAUACGGUGAAGCCGCGAAUAGCUCAUUACAACAGCCAUCGUUUACUAGAAAAUCGUUGUCCUACUUGGAUAACUGUGGCAAUUCUAGAGCUAAUACAUGCGAUAAAGCUCAUUUCGCAAGGAUUGAGCGCAUUUAUUAGAAUAAAAACCAAUCGGGUCUAAACAACCCGUAAUUUGGUGAAUCUGAAUAACUUUGCCGAUCGCACGGUCCUAGUACCGGCGACGUAUCUUUCAAGUGUCUGCCUUAUCAACUUUCGAUGGUAGGUUAUACGCCUACCAUGGUAGUAACGGGUAACGGAGAAUAAGGGUUCGACUCCGGAGAGGGAGCCUGAGAAACGGCUACCACAUCCAAGGAAGGCAGCAGGCGCGCAAAUUACCCACUUCCAGAACGGAGAGGUAGUGACGAAAAAUAACGAGACAGUCCUCUUCGAGGUCUGUCAUCGGAAUGGGUACAAUUUAAAUCCUUUAACGAGGAUCUAUUGGAGGGCAAGUCUGGUGCCAGCAGCCGCGGUAAUUCCAGCUCCAAUAGCGUAUAUUAAAGUUGUUGCGGUUAAAACGCUCGUAGUUGGAUCUGCGGCCUCGGAGAACGGUCCCCCGAAAGGGUGGUCACUGUUACUCCAAGCCUAAAUAUCUAGUCCAUUCUAUGGUGCUCUUAACCGAGUGCCUAGAGUGACUGGAACGUUUACUUUGAAAAAAUUAGAGUGCUUAAAGCAGGCGGAAUAGCCUGAAUAAGGUGCAUGGAAUAAUGGAAUAGGACCUCGGUUCUAUUUUGUUGGUUUUCGGAGCCUGAGGUAAUGAUUAAGAGGAACAGACGGGGGCAUUCGUAUUCCGGCGCUAGAGGUGAAAUUCUUGGACCGCCGGAAGACGGACGACUGCGAAAGCAUUUGCCAAGAAUGUUUUCAUUAAUCAAGAACGAAAGUUAGAGGUUCGAAGGCGAUCAGA
rnacentral:rRNA from 1 species